AAGAAUUUAAGUUAAAAAAACUCUUAACCUUCAAAGUUAAAGAUAGGCCCGGCAGACCUAAUUCUUA
rnacentral:tRNA from 1 species